CAUCAGCAGAGGGGCACCAGCCAAAGGGUGUGGCUACCUCACCGCUGGUCCCCAGGCCUGGGAGGUGGGGAGCACACACAGUGCCGUGGGUACCCAGUUGGGUGUUCUCCCGCUGCAGAGGAGACGGCAGCCUGGGUCCUGCCCUUCACCUCUGGCGGCUUUCUCUACAUCGCCUUGGUGAACGUGCUCCCUGACCUCUUGGAAGAAGAGGACCCGUGGCGCUCCCUGCAGCAGCUGCUUCUGCUCUGUGCGGGCAUCGUGGUAAUGGUGCUGUUCUCGCUCUUCGUGGAUUAACUUUCCCUGAUGCCGACGCCCCUGCCCCCUGCAGCAAUAAGAUGCUCGGAUUCACUCUGUGACCGCAUAUGUGAGAGGCAGAGAGGGCGAGUGGCUGCGAGAGAGAAUGAGCCUCCCGCCAGACAGGAGGGAGGUGCGUGUGGAUGUAUGUGGUGUGCACAUGUGGCCAGAGGCGUGUGUGUGAGACCGACACUGUGAUCCCUGUGCUGGGUCCGGGGCCCAGUGUAGCGCCUGUCCCCAGCCAUGCUGUGGUUACCUCUCCGUGCCGCCCUGUCACCUUCACCUCCCGGAGUAAGCAGCGAGGAACAGCAGCACUGGUCCCAAGCAGAGGCCUUGCCCUGCUGGGACCCCGGGAGUGAGAGCAGCCCAAGGAUCCCAGGAUGCAGGGAACUCCAGAGCUGCCCACCUCCCACUGCCCCCUCAGCACACACACAGUCCCCAGGUGGCCUAGGGGCCAAGGCUGGGGCGGCUUUGGUCCCUUUUCCUGGCCCUUCCUUCCCCACUUCUAAGCCAAAGAAAGGAGAGGCAGGUGCUCCUGUACCCCAGCCCCACUCAGCACUGACAGUCCCCAGCUCCUAGUAGUGAGCUGGGAGGCGCUUCCUAAGACCCUUUCCUCAGGGCUGCCCUGGGAGCUCAUUCCUGGCCAACACGCCCUGGCAGCACCAGCAGCUCUUGCCACCUCCAGCUGCCAAACAGCAGCCUGCCGGCACAGGGGCCAGGGACUCCUGGAGCAGGCACAUAGUGAGCCCGGGCAGCCCUCCCCAGCUCAGGCCCCUCUCCUUCCCCAUUGAGGUUGGGGUAGGUGGGGGCGGUGAGGGCUCCACGUUGUCAGCGCUCAGGAAUGUGCUCCGGCAGAGUGCUGAAGCCAUAAUCCCCAACCAUUUCCCUUGGCUGACGCCCAGGUACUCAGCUGGCCCACUCCACAGCCAGGCCUGGCCCUGCCCUUCACCGUGGAUGUUUUCAGAAGUGGCCAUCGAGAGGUCUGGAUGGUUUUAUAGCAACUUUGCUGUGAUUCCGUUUGUAUCUGUAAAUAUUUGUUCUAUAGAUAAGAUACAAAUAAAU
rnacentral:lncRNA from 1 species